rnacentral:tRNA from 1 species
GCCUGGCUGGCUCAGUAGGUUGAGCAUCUGACUCUUGAUCUCAGGGGCAUGAGUUCAAGCCUCAUGUUGAGCA